CCUACGGGAGGCAGCAGUAAGGAAUAUUGGUCAAUGGAGGCAACUCUGAACCAGCCAUGCCGCGUGCAGGAAGACUGCCCUAUGGGUUGUAAACUGCUUUUAUCCGGGAAUAAACCUGCUUACGUGUAAGUAGCUGAAUGUACCGGAAGAAUAAGGAUCGGCUAACUCCGUGCCAGCAGCCGCGGUAAUACGGAGGAUCCAAGCGUUAUCCGGAUUUAUUGGGUUUAAAGGGUGCGUAGGCGGCCUGUUAAGUCAGGGGUGAAAGACGGUAGCUCAACUAUCGCAGUGCCCUUGAUACUGAUGGGCUUGGAAUGGACUAGAGGUAGGCGGAAUGAGACAAGUAGCGGUGAAAUGCAUAGAUAUGUCUCAGAACACCGAUUGCGAAGGCAGCUUACUAUGGUCUUAUUGACGCUGAGGCACGAAAGCGUGGGGAUCAAACAGGAUUAGAUACCCUGGUAGUCCACGCCCUAACGAUGAACACUCGCUGUGCGAUACACAUNAGCGCGACGNGAAGACGUAGUGUCGUCGUGGUAGUUACGCGCGAGGUUAGAACGACGAGNGAGUUAGAGCGNGAGAGNGCGAGCGACGACGAGGAGGAGG
rnacentral:rRNA from 1 species